AGAGUUUGAUCCUGGCUCAGAUUGAACGCUGGCGGCAUGCCUUACACAUGCAAGUCGAACGGCAGCANGGAGCUUGGUCUUGGAUUCAGCGGCGAACGGGUGAGUAAUGCCUAGGAAUGUGCCUAGUAGUGGGGGACAACGUUUCGAAAGGGUCGCUAAUACCGCAUACGUCCUACGGGGGAAAGCAGGGGACCUCAGGGCCUUGCACUAUCAGAUGAGCCUAGAUCGGAUUAGCUAGUUGGUGAGGUNNGGCUCACCAAGGCGACGAUCCGUAGCUGGUNNAGAGGAUAUCANUCACACNNGAACUGAGACACGGNCAGACUNNNCGGGAGNCANCNGUGGGGAAUUUUNGNCANNGNCGAAAGCUUAUNCAGCCCAUGCCGCGUGUCGAAGAANNUUUCGGGUUGUAAAGCCACUUUAACAGGAAAGAAACGUCAUAGAUUNAUNUCCGCAAAAUUGACGGUACCGGCAGAAUAAGCACCGGCUAACUACGUGCCAGCAGCCGCGGUAAUACGUAGGGUGCAAGCGUUAAUCGGAAUUACUGGGCGUAAAGCGUGCGCAGGCGGUUCGGUAAGAAAGAUGUGAAAUCCCCGAGCUCAACUUUGGAACUGCAUUUUUAACUGUCGAGCUAGAGUGUGUCAGNGGGAGGUGGAAUNUCGCGUGUAGCGGUGAAAUGCGUAGAUAUACGAAGGAACACCGA
rnacentral:rRNA from 1 species